GGGCUUGUACUGGUUUCGACGGGGGUUUUGAAGUCAAGGAAGCCAUCCGCGGCCCGGACCGCGUACCAACCGGACAUUAAAAUUAAACGCAGACAAUAGACAGUUUGCAAUGGCGGCGUAAUAGCCCGCCCGUAAGCCCGUUCGCACCCGCGCGUUCGGUCACUUACGUCAUCAUCGCGGGAAACGAUGGCGGCAAAGCUUUGAGCUGUCAGGCGUAAGAUGAAGCUACUGAUCCUGUGAGGACGUCAUUCGCCGCGCGGGUGAGGGAAUGUAAAAGGAAUGGCUGUGAUGGGAGAUGCUUUGAGGGAGAGGCUUUCGGACGCGGGUUCGAUUCCCGCCAGGUCCACCA
rnacentral:tmRNA from 1 species